GCCAGGCGUGGUGGCUCACGCCUGUAAUCCCAGCACUUUGGAGGCUGAGGUGGGUGGAUCACUAGAGGUCAGGAAUUUGAGACCAGCCUGGCCAACAUGGUGAAACCCCAUCUCUA
rnacentral:SRP_RNA from 2 species